CCAAGUCAGUAAAGCCGGCCCUUCCCGCUCCCGGUUGCCAUGGUGACGAGAGAGGGGCGCUAAGGGCCGGAAGGGGUGGAGUCUGCAGAGGACCGUUUGCACUCGGGGUCGCAGAAGCAGCCUGAGCCCUCGGGUUGCCAUGGUGAUGCGGGCCUGAGUGAAGCGCCGAAGCGGCGGGGUCCGAGGCACUUUCGGUCUCUUGGAAUCGGGAGAGAUCUCGUAGCUCCCUAUGCUGGUGUGUUACCGCCAGCCACAAACCAGGAAGAGAAGGAGGGACUCGCAGGCGCAGAGACUGUCCCUGGGCUUUUCGUAUUCCAGUCAUGCUCCUGUCCCUGGUUGCCAUAGCGACGCAGCAGCAGAGGAGGGCCAGGUCGCAUGUGGUUGUAGAGAGCAACAAGAGUUAUGCCACGCUCCUGCUUAGCUCCUUAGGACACUCGUUGAGGUGCUCUCUGUGGAAUCCAUCUCCAGAAGUAAAAUUACUGCGUCAGAAGACAAAUGCAGUGUUCAUUUUCAUGGAUAUGGCCAAAUUGCCCUCCGAAGACACUCGCAAAUUUACGUCUUCACCAAAACUGGAAUCCAAUAAUUUUAAUUAGGACUGUAUACACCGUGAUGAGCUACUUGGAAAGGAUUUCCCAGAGCCAGCACCAUUAAGCCAAUUUAAUUCUUUGAUUUUUUUAAAUACAACGUCAUUAAGCUAUUCAAUCCCAUUUAUUUCAUAAUAAAGAUUUUACUUCUUUAGUAA